rnacentral:rRNA from 1 species
GACGAACGCUGGCGGCGUGCUUAACACAUGCAAGUCGAACGGAAAGGCCCUGCUUUUGUGGGGUGCUCGAGUGGCGAACGGGUGAGUAACACGUGAGUAACCUGCCCUUGACUUUGGGAUAACUUCAGGAAACUGGGGCUAAUACCGGAUAGGAGCUCCUGCUGCAUGGUGGGGGUUGGAAAGUUUCGGCGGUUGGGGAUGGACUCGCGGCUUAUCAGCUUGUUGGUGGGGUAGUGGCUUACCGAGGCUUUGACGGGUAGCCGGCCUGUGAGGGUGGCCGGCCACAUUGGGACUGAGGGACGCCCCAGAGGCCAACGGGGGGCAGCGGGGGGGAAUAUUGCACAGUGGGCGGAAGCCUGAUGCAGCAACGCCGCGUGCGGGAUGACGGCCUUCUGGUUGUAAACCGCUUUCGCCUGUGACGAAGCGUGAGUGACGGUAAUGGGUGAAGAAGCACCGGCUAACUACGUG